GAAGCAAGCCGGACCGCCGCUGGUGCAUGGGCCGAAAGGCCGCACCGGAGGAAGGUCCGGACUGCGCAGGGCGGCGUAGCAGCUAACGGCUGUCCACCGCGAGGUGAGGAUCAGAGCAACAGAGACGAGUCAGGUCGGGUCGCCCCGCCGCGGGUGGUCUGCGAGGUGCCGGCGCGAGCCGGCAACCGGGUGGCGCAAGCCGCCCGGCCACGGCGUCAGCCGGGGGCCGAGCAGCACCCAAGCCGGGCCGCGCGCAAGUGCGCGAUCCGGCUUGGGUGAAACGGGCAAUCUCUACGCGCAGCAACACCAAAUAGGCACGUGCAGGGCCCCGUCUUCGGACGGGGCACGGAACCCCGGCCCGGGGCGAGCGUGCGGGUAGGUGGCACCGAGCCGCGCAGCGAUGCGCGGCCCAGAUGAAUGGCGGUCACGCCGUGCCGCCGGCAACGGCGGCACGGUGCACAGAAUCCGGCCUACAGGCUUGCUUCACCU
rnacentral:RNase_P_RNA from 1 species